rnacentral:piRNA from 1 species
UUAAGGCUGUGUUCUGUGUCGUUAUAG